GACGAACGCUGGCGGCGUGCUUAACACAUGCAAGUCGAACGAUGAAGCCGGAGCUUGCUCUGGUGAAUUAGUGGCGAACGGGUGAGUAACACGUGAGUAACCUGCCCUUGACUCUGGGAUAACUGCUAGAAAUGGUAGCUAAUACCGGAUACGACCCUCGGAGGCAUCUCCAGGGGGUGGAAAGAAUUUCGGUCAAGGAUGGACUCGCGGCCUAUCAGCUAGUUGGUGAGGUAAUGGCUCACCAAGGCGACGACGGGGAGCCGGCCUGAGAGGGUGACCGGCCACACUGGGACUGAGACACGGCCCAGACUCCUACGGGAGGCAGCAGUGGGGAAUAUUGCACAAUGGGCGCAAGCCUGAUGCAGCAACGCCGCGUGAGGGAUGGCGGCCUUCGGGUUGUAAACCUCUUUUAGUAGGGAAGAAGCGAAAGUGACGGUACCUGCAGAAAAAGCACCGGCUAACUACGUGCCAGCCGCCGCGGUAA
rnacentral:rRNA from 1 species